AUUGAACGCUGGCGGCAUGCCUUACACAUGCAAGUCGAACGGUAACAGAUCUUCGGAUGCUGACGAGUGGCGAACGGGUGAGUAAUACAUCGGAACGUGCCUAGUAGUGGGGGAUAACUACUCGAAAGAGUGGCUAAUACCGCAUGAGAUCUACGGAUGAAAGCAGGGGAUUGCAAGACCUUGUGCUACUAGAGCGGCCGAUGGCAGAUUAGGUAGUUGGUGGGAUAAAAGCUUACCAAGCCGACGAUCUGUAGCUGGUCUGAGAGGACGAUCAGCCACACUGGGACUGAGACACGGCCCAGACUCCUACGGGAGGCAGCAGUGGGGAAUUUUGGACAAUGGGCGCAAGCCUGAUCCAGCAAUGCCGCGUGCAGGAUGAAGGCCUUCGGGUUGUAAAGGACUUUUGUCCGGGAGCAAAUACCCAGUGCUAAUAACACUGGGGGCUGAGAGUACCGGAAGAAUAAGCACCGGCUAACUACGUGCCAGCCGCCGCAGUAACAC
rnacentral:rRNA from 1 species